UAAGAAACUUAUGUUUGGAAACUA
rnacentral:snRNA from 1 species